CAUGCAUUAGUAUAAUAUUAACUCCAAUACUGUACAUAAUAUUUUUAUUAUACUCUUACAUUCACAUUCACUACAACACUUUUAACAUUUAAUUACAUUCAGCAAUAACGUUUUUAAAAAAACGUUAUCUAAUAGUUAUUGGGUCUUAUUAAUUAUUGGGCCUUAGAGAGUUAUUCAAAAUUGGGCUCAUUUGAAUUGGGCAUUCUUAUUGUUGGGUACAGUAGCCUUGAAGAAGAAAGGCUAGGUUUCUUCGUGCUUCAGCUCAGCGCCCCCAAGGAUAAUCGCUGGUGCUUCGUGCUCAACUCCUCCGACGACAUGAAUUUCGAGUGUCUAGGUCUCCUCCGGUGAACGGCGAUCCAAGGUAUUUACUGUAAACUUUUUUUCAGUAUGUGUGAAAUUAUUUCAGUAUUUACGGUAAGCUUUCUCACCCAUUCUUCUAUUUCCGUUGAUUGUACUCUGCCGCGGUUCAUUUCCGAUCAUCUACUCCGGUUGAAAAUGGCUUCCGCCCAAUCAUCUCUCUGGCAAAGCAUCUGAAGACCACUCCACUGGAAUCACCGCUCACUUCUCCUUCUCAAUUUACUCUACCUCUCUGAUCACUAAAGCCCUCCUCCCAAGGUUUUCUCCUUCUUCCCAUUCCUAAUUUACUCUCCCUCUCUUUUCGUCUUUUAAUUUCAAUUUCUUCUCUGCUUUUUGCAGCUUGAUCAUUCUCUGUUCGUGGAAAUCGAUCGGUGGGGCAAUCGAUUCAUUCACGGUUACAACUUUUGAUUUCAUACUUAUUCAUUUACUUGUGGUUUAAGUGUAUAAUCGUGGUGGUAUUAUUUAAAGAUUUUGCUUGAAGGCUAGUUUGUAGCUGAGAAAAAAUAGUUAAAUAAUUUGGACAUCAUGUUUGAUAAAAGUUGGUUACGCUUCAACAGAGCCUCAAAUGAGUAUAAGGAAGGUGCUAGGAGUUUUGUAGAGACAAUAGAGAAAGAGGCUAAUUAUCCAGAAAAGUUAUUAUGUCCAUGUAAAUUUUGUCGAAACUUAAGUCACCAAAAGGUCAAUUUGCUUUAUGAGCACUUGGUCAUAAAUGGAAUUGAUCCUACAUACACAAUUUGGUUUCAUCACGGGGAAGAAGCACCUAGAAGUGAUGAUAUUGAGGAAAUGAAUUCUUUUGAUGCUUUUAAUUUGUUUAGUGCUACAAAUAUUGAUGUUUGUGAUUCUGAAGAACCUGUAGAAGGCCCUGAUGACAACUUCAUCAAAAAAUUAGAAGAUGCACAAAUCGCAUUAUAUCCACAGUGCACAAAAUACACUAAGUUGUCAGCUAUUAUUGCUUUAUAUAAGGUUAAGACAACUAAUGGAUGGUCUGACAAGAGUUUUGAUGAGAUUCUCAAUCUUUUUCAUGAUAUGCUUCCAUGUGAUAACGUGCUUCUCAAGUCCACGUACUCAGUUAGGAAAUAUCUUCAAACAUUUGACUUAGGAUAUGAAAAGAUUCAUGCUUGUGUAAAUAAUUGUUGUUUGUUUAGAAAAGAUAAGGAGAAGUUAGAAGAAUGUCCAACAUGUGGAACUUCUCGUUGGGCGACAGAUAAACUUACUAACAAGGUUCGAAAAGGUAUUCCAGCAAAAGUUUUGAGGUAUUUUCCUAUAAUUCCAAGGUUCAAACGAAUGUUUAAAUCUGAAAGAAUGGCUAAGGAUUUACGAUGGCAUCACAAUAAUAAGAGUAACGAUGGGAAAAUGCGUCACCCGGUAGAUUCUGUUGCUUGGGAAUUAGUGAAUGAGAGAUGGCCUGCUUUUUCCAAAGAAGAACGAAAUCUCAGACUUGGACUUUCUACCGAUGGUUUUAAUCCUUUUAGUAAUUUGAGUAGUAAACAUAGUGUUUGGCCUGUGAUGAUCGUUAUGUAUAACUUACCCCCAUGGUUAUGCAUGAAAAAAGAAAAUAUUUUAUUGUCAUUGUUAAUUCCAGGACCGAAGCAACCUGGGAAUGACAUUGAUGUAUAUUUAAAACCACUCAUCGAGGACUUGAAUACAUUAUGGAAUGAGGGAGUUGAGCUCCAUGAUGCUUUUGUAAACAAAACUUUUACAUUGAGAGCAAUUUUGAUGUGGACCAUCCAAGAUUUUCCAGCCUAUGGGAACCUUGCUGGAUGUAAAACUAAAGGGUAUUAUGUGGACCUGUUCAAUUUCGAUGGAUGUAUCCCUUUGAGAGACAUAUGAAGACACUAAAAGCAUAUGUCAGAAAUCAAGCAAGGCCUGAAGGUUGUAUUGCAGAGUCCUAUCUUGCAGAUGAGUGUAUGAAUUUUUGUAAUGAAUUCAUUAAGUCAACAAUUGGGUUGAACAAAAAAAGCAUCGCAACGAAGAGUGGGUCAAUGAUGUGUUAUUUGAGGGUCGUCCAAUUUCUAGAAAGCAUGACUUUACAAUGACAGAUGAGUGGUUAGAAAUUGCACACCGAUACGUUCUACUGAAUACAUCUAUUGUGGAGCCUUUUCUAGAGAUGCAUAAGGACGAGUUAAGGAAAACCAACCAAAUUUAUGCAAGAAAUAGUGGCUUGCUUUGGAAAAGGCAUGUAGAGACAUUUCCAAAAUGGCUGAAGGAAAAGGUUCCUAUUGAUAAGGGUGAAGAAAAUGAUUUGUUGAAAUGGUUAGCAUAUGGACCUAGGAAACAAGCAAUAUCUUGCACAGGAUUCAUCAUCAAUGGUCAAAGAUUCAAUGUAGAAGAUGAUAAAAAGACAACACAGAAUAGUGGUGUUUCUAUUGAUGCAACAACCAUGUGUAGAUCCAGUGCUAAAGAUCAAUCACAAGUUGCAGAUGUGGUUUCCUACUAUGGAGUCCUAAAAGAGAUAAUCUUGUUAGAUUAUCACACAUUUCAAAUUCCACUUUUUAGAUGUCUAUGGGCUAAUGUUCCUAAUGGUAUUAGGAUCGAAGAUGGCCUCACAUUAGUUAACUUAGAGGAAAGUCAAUCACAAUUUGUUAAAGACCCUUUCAUUUUAGCUUCACAAGCUAAACAAGUUUUCUACUCUAGAGAACGUGAUUCUAGUUGGCAUGUAGUAAUGAUGGCACGCCCAAGAGGAUUUUAUGAAUUGGAAUAUUAUGAUAGGCAUGAGUAUAUGCCCAUCAUUUUAGAAAAUAAUAUUGAAACUAGGUUGGAUGAUGUAGUUGAAGAAGACCAAUAUGUGAGAGUGGAUUGUGAAGGCACCUUAGUUUGAAUAAUGUUGUUGUUUUUGUCUCGUGUGAUGUCUUUUGUACUGUUCUUUUAGGAGUUUUGUUUUCUCAGACAUUUUGAAUAAUGUUGGAGUUUUGCUACAAGAGAAGAUGACCAUGAAGCUGAAAAACGUCAAGAAGAAUAAAGAGAGCAAGAUACAAGAGACACAAAAAGAUGAACUUCUCAAAGCUAAAAACUCUGUAUUGCUACAAAGGAAGACACGUCGAAAAAUGAUAGUGAGAGACUCUUCUGAAGAUGAGGAAACACCCGGACAAGAGAAAGAGAUAUGUUCCACUAAGAGAAAGAGAUCUCUUAGGAAGAAAGCCUCUCGGUCCAAAACACCCAUUCCAAUAUCUCUUACUCCCAUCUCAAAUUCUCCAACAGUAAAUACUAGGUCCAAAACACCUCAAAUUUCUAUCACAAUGCCUACCAUAGACUCCCCUGCACUAAACACUAGGGGCUCUUGAAGAAGGAGGUCCAUAGGCUCGUCACCUGUUCUUGAUGAUGUUGCUCCCCCUUUAGAAGAGCCUAUGGAAAAGAAAAAAAGAGGUGAAACUAAAAUGAAAUCAGUUGCUACAAGUAGUGAGGGUCGAUUACCUAAUUAAGGAAUUAAUGAGGUAUAAAGCCUUAUAGUUGUCACGUAUAGUUUCCAUAAUUGUCUAAUGAGCAAUGCUAUAAUUAAAUA